ensembl:misc_RNA Y_RNA Y RNA
GGCUGGCUCGAGUGCAGUGGUGUUUACAACUAAUUGAUCACAACCAGUUACAGAUUUCUUUGUUCCUUCUCCACUCCCACUGCUUCACUUGACUAGUCUUUA